rnacentral:rRNA from 1 species
UACAGAGGGUGCGAGCGUUAAUCGGAAUUACUGGGCGUAAAGCGUGCGCAGGCGGUUAUGCAAGACAGAUGUGAAAUCCCCGGGCUCAACCUGGGAACUGCAUUUGUGACUGCAUGGCUAGAGUGCGGCAGAGGGGGAUGGAAUUCCGCGUGUAGCAGUGAAAUGCGUAGAUAUGCGGAGGAACACCGAUGGCGAAGGCAGUCCCCUGGGCCUGCACUGACGCUCAUGCACGAAAGCGUGGGGAGCAAACAGG